GACAGAGGGUGCAAACGUUGUUCGGAAUUACUGGGCGUAAAGCGCGUGUAGGCGGCAGCGCAAGUCGGAUGUGAAAUCCCAUGGCUCAACCAUGGAAGUGCACCCGAAACUGCGUCGCUAGAGUCCUGGAGAGGAAGGUGGAAUGCUUGGUGUAGAGGUGAAAUUCGUAGAUAUCAAGCGGAACACCGGUGGCGAAGGCGGCCUUCUGGACAGUGACUGACGCUGAGAAGCGAAAGCAUGGGGAGCGAACAGG
rnacentral:rRNA from 1 species